CGUGUUUUAAUCGCCCCAACGCCACUCCAACGAUUUCACAACCGUAACCGUAACCUGUUUUAAUAUAAAUAAAUUGCGGUUUGUUGUGCAGCCGGAGCCUUCUGGUCCCAACGAGCAUCCGGUCUCGUCCCCCCUCACCUCUGGACUCUGGAGUGAAAACCAAAGACCCGCCUCCCACGACAGGAAGCCGUCGGGUAAAAAAUGUCCUGCUUAUUUACAACACGGAAGCUCGGUGACCACCAGGCAGAAACCGGGACACGUUUCUGUGAUCAAAUCUUCCCGGCGGGUGACAAUGAGUGGAAGCCCUCCAGCGAGCCGACCCGGCACGCUCGCCCCGUUUGCCAAAGAGCCAUUGUCUUAUUGUUGCUUUACACAAUGUGACUUGUUAAACCUGCAAAUGAACUCGCAUUGUAACAACGGCAUCUGGUCCCGGUUCACUUUCUUCGGGAUCGCCUCCGUAAUGGGGACGAAUGAGCCCGUCGCCGAGGAGCUUGAGGUGUGUCUGCAGAGGAGGUUCAAUCGGAUCUUUUUACAUUCCGGUUGUCGCGUCACACUUUGCAAUCGACGCGUCUCCCGUCACGUUUUGCACUGGGCAGAAAGCGCCGCUCGCAUCUGGAAAAGGACGGACGGACGGGAGGAUCAACCCGCCGCCGCCCAUUUGAGAAGAAGCGAGAUGAUCUCGGCUGCAGCGCAGUCGCCACGUCGGUGUUCACGCCACCUCUCCAGGUCAGACAGCGCAGAGCGGAUCCCGUCACGUCUCACGCAGCUGUCUGCGUAAACUCCGCCGCCGCCGAGCCCCUUCAGCGGACACAGAAGCAGAUGAGGACCGAAGUGGAGGACAGCCGGAGGACGGCCGGUCCUCCUUCCUGCGCCCAGAACCAUCGAGCGAGCUCCUCCGAGGUGUAGUUAGCUCAUCCAGCCGUGUGCAUGAUGGAUGAUCCCAGGGACGCGCCGGUUCUGACCCAGCUUGGAAUCAGCAGCAGUGUCUCCCCCGCGUUCAAAUCAGAUCUUUAAAUAAACCACAGCCACGUAAACGCAGCGAGCGUCAUUCACAUAAAAAAACAGUCGUCCUUUGCUAAAAAGACAAGCGGCUUCAGACCGUUUUCACUCCUUCUGAACACAGAGACGUUGGACAAUUCUUAUACUAAGACUACGACGAUAACGCCUCGAGGGAGGACGUCAGGUUGCGUGCUGUAAAGACAUUUGGGUCAAACAAGGACACGCGUGUUUGUGGCGUGUGGAAGCUUCAUCUCGCCACCUUGAAGGUGUUUGAUGCAGGAACCCUGGGGAGUUAGAAGGUACGAGCGCAGCACAGUGUUUGGUGAUGUCGUUGCGGCGCAUCCCGCAAAACCCGCGGCAUUGUUGUUGACAGUCGGCGACGAGGAAGUCCGGGGCACUGAGGCUCUGCUGCAGCUCCUCGCUCGCACUCGGUCCGUUGUUCUUCCUCUAAGUGAAUUAAAGCACGAUAUCCACCGCAUUCAGGGCGCCGCCGCUGCUGUUUCCAAGUCACAAGGUCAGGGUCCCGCUGGCCGCAGGAGACGACCUCUGAGCCCCGAGAUCCACUUCAGCCCCUCAGAUGUUGUUCUCAGAGUCGAGCUGUCAAACUGUUCCUC
ensembl:lncRNA